rnacentral:rRNA from 1 species
GACGAACGCUGGCGGCGUGCCUAAUACAUGCAAGUAGAACGCCGUUGCGAACGGGUGAGUAACGCGUAGGUAACUGACUCAUAGCGGGGGAUAAAUAUUGGAAACGAUAGCUAAUACCGCAUCCUGUGAGCUGGACCUGCGUUGUAUUAAGUAGUUGGUGAGGUAAAGGCUCACCAAGGCGACGAUACAUAGCCGACCUGAGAGGGGUAUCUGCCAAACUGGGACUGAGACACGGCCCAUACUCCUACGGGAGGCAGCAGUAGGGAAUCUUCGGCAAAGGAAGGAAGUCUGUCCGAGCAAAGCCGCGUGAGUGAAGAAGGUUGUCGGAUCGUAAAGCUCUGUUGUUAGAGAAGCGGUAUCGAACCAGAAAGGGACGGCUAACUACGUGCCAGCAGCCGCGGUAAUUC